CAACCCUGGUGGCGAGUGGCGGACGGGUGAGUAAUGCAUCGGAACGUGCCCUGAAGUGGGGGAUAACGCAGCGAAAGCUACGCUAAUACCGCAUAUUCUGUGAGCAGGAAAGCAGGGGAUCGCAAGACCUUGCGCUUUGGGAGCGGCCGAUGUCGGAUUAGCUAGUUGGUGGGGUAAAGGCCUACCAAGGCGACGAUCCGUAGCGGGUCUGAGAGGAUGAUCCGCCACACUGGGACUGAGACACGGCCCAGACUCCUACGGGAGGCAGCAGUGGGGAAUUUUGGACAAUGGGCGGAAGCCUGAUCCAGCCAUGCCGCGUGAGUGAAGAAGGCCUUCGGGUUGUAAAGCUCUUUCGGCGGGGAAGAAAUUGCUUGGGUUAAUACCCUGAGUAGAUGACGGUACCCGAAUAAGAAGCACCGGCUAACUACGUGCCAGCAGCCGCGGUAAUACGUAGGGUGCGAGCGUUAAUCGGAAUUACUGGGCGUAAAGCGUGCGCAGGC
rnacentral:rRNA from 1 species